AGCGGGGUAGAGCACCGGUAGCUCGACAGGCUCAUAACCUGUAGGAGGUGGUUCAAUUCCACCCCCCGCAA
rnacentral:tRNA from 1 species